rnacentral:rRNA from 1 species
ACAUGCAGUCGAGCGGCAGCGCGGGGCACCUUGGCGGCGAGCGGCGAACGGGUGAGUAAUACAUCGGAACAUGUCCAUUUGUGGGGGAUCAGCCCGGCGAAAAGCCGGGGAUUAGUACCGCAUACGCCCUACGGGGGAAAGCGGGGGACUUCGCAAGAGGCCUCGCGCGAAUGGGUUGGCCGAUGUCCGAUUAGCUAGUUGGUGGGGUAAAGGCUUACCAAGGCGAUGAUCGGUAGCUGGUCUGAGAGGAUGAUCAGCCACACUGGGACUGAGACAAGGGCCAGACUCCUACGGGAGGCAGCAGUGGGGAAUUUUCAGACAAUGGGGGCAAACCCUGAUCCAGCCAUUCCGCGUGAGUGAAGAAGGCCUUCGGGUUGUAAAGCUCUUUUGUCCGGAACGAAACGGGUUGCGUGAAUAGCGCCGCCUACUGACGGUACCGGAAGAAUAAGCACCGGCUAACUACGUGCCAGCAGCCGGGGUAAUACGUAGGAUGCGAGCGUUAAUCGGAAUUACCUGGGCGUUAAAGCGUGCGCAGGCGGUUUGUAAGCCAGAUGUGAAAGCCCCGGGGCUUAACCUGGGAAUGGCAUUUGGGACUGCAAGGCUUGAGUGCGGCAGAGGAGACUGGAACUCCUGGUGUCACAGUGAAAUGCG